ACUCAGGCACGAUUCGCCCGUAUUCCUAUGUUUUAUAGGAGAAGUAAGUAGUCUCGCUCAGUCCUAUUUAGAUAGGCAUUGUGGAGGGGCGGCGCGAAAGCGACCUGAAGUUCAAUCCUGAGGGA
rnacentral:ncRNA from 1 species